UACAGAGGUCCCAAGCGUUGUUCGGAUUCAUUGGGCGUAAAGGGUGCGUAGGCGGCGCGGUAAGUCGGGUGUGAAAUCUCGGAGCUUAACUCCGAAACUGCAUUCGAUACUGCCGUGCUUGAGGACUGGAGAGGAGUCUGGAAUUUACGGUGUAGCGGUGAAAUGCGUAGAUAUCGUAAGGAAGACCAGUGGCGAAGGCGGGUCUCUGGACAGUUCCUGACGCUGAGGCACGAAGGUCAGGGGAGCAAACGGG
rnacentral:rRNA from 1 species